GGAAGUGGGAUGACGUCAAGUCCUCAUGGCCCUUACAGGCUGGGCUACACACGUGCUACAAUGGCAUCUACAGUGGGCAGCUAUUCCGCAAGGAUGCGCUAAUCUCCAAAAGAUGUCUCAGUUCGGAUUGUCCUCUGCAACUCGAGGGCAUGAAGGCGGAAUCGCUAGUAAUCGCGGAUCAGCAUGCCGCGGUGAAUACGUUCCCAGGCCUU
rnacentral:rRNA from 1 species